rnacentral:rRNA from 1 species
AACGCUGGCGGCGUGCCUAAUACAUGCAAGUGGGACGCAAGGAAACACACUGUGCUUGCACACCGUGUUUUCUUGAGUCGCGAACGGGUGAGUAACGCGUAGGUAACCUGCCUAUUAGCGGGGGAUAACUAUUGGAAACGAUAGCUAAUACCGCAUAAUAUUAAUUAUUGCAUGAUAAUUGAUUGAAAGAUGCAAGCGCAUCACUAGUAGAUGGACCUGCGUUGUAUUAGCUAGUUGGUAAGGUAAGAGCUUACCAAGGCGACGAUACAUAGCCGACCUGAGAGGGUGAUCGGCCACACUGGGACUGAGACACGGCCCAGACUCCUACGGGAGGCAGCAGUAGGGAAUCUUCGGCAAUGGACGAAAGUCUGACCGAGCAACGCCGCGUGAGUGAAGAAGGUUUUCGGAUCGUAAAGCUCUGUUGUAAGUCAAGAACGUGUGUGAGAGUGG